rnacentral:pre_miRNA from 1 species
AAAAAGGCAAAUCAUGGGUUUCCGUGUCCAACUUUGACUGUCCGUCUUAUAUGAAAUUUUUUUUAUAAUUCGUAUUUUCAUUGUUAUUAGAUGAUAAAACAUGAUUAAUAUUUUAUGCGUGACUUGUCUUUUUAAUUUUUUUUAUAAUUUUUUUAAAUAAGACGGACGGUCAAACGUUGGGCACGGAAACCAGGGUCUAUCUUUUU